rnacentral:rRNA from 1 species
UACGUAGGUGGCAAGCGUUGUCCGGAUUUAUUGGGUUUAAAGGGUGCGUAGGCGGCCUAUUAAGUCAGUGCUGAAAUAUCCCGGCUUAACCGGGAGGGUGGCAUUGAUACUGAUGGGCUUGAGUGAAGUCGAAGUAGGCGGAAUUGACGGUGUAGCGGUGAAAUGCUUAGAUAUCGUCAAGAACACCGAUAGUGAAGACAGCUUACUAGACUUCAACUGACGCUGAGGCACGAAAGUGUGGGGAUCAAACAGG